rnacentral:misc_RNA from 1 species
GUUUUUAUAUGCAUUAUGCACAGUACAUUCCAUUACAUUCAGAGUGUGUAAAAAUACCCUGAGAUCCAGGUCGACGCGGGUCAACCAACUGCAGACCGGACAAGCCGGCAAGCGGAUCCCAAAGUCAGAGGUGCACAGGUGUGUGGAUUUGCGACCAACGUGCACAUGUGGCAUGCCACCAGCACAGAGGGCCGACUUAUGAUUCAUUAAUGAUCCUUCCGCAGGUUCACCUACGGAAA